UACGUAGGGGGCUAGCGUUAUCCGGAAUUACUGGGCGUAAAGGGUGCGUAGGUGGUUUCUUAAGUCAGAGGUGAAAGGCUACGGCUCAACCGUAGUAAGCCUUUGAAACUGGGAAACUUGAGUGCAGGAGAGGGGAGUGGAAUUCCUAGUGUAGCGGUGAAAUGCGUAGAUAUUAGGAGGAACACCAGUUGCGAAGGCGGCUCUCUGGACUGUAACUGACACUGAGGCACGAAAGCGUGGGGAGCAAACAGG
rnacentral:rRNA from 1 species